CACAGCGCUUUCACUCGCCUUGUUUUGGUUGCGAACAGCUAUCAGCGGUGUGUCAACAUUUUCAUAAGAAUCAUGCAUGGCCUGCAAGACGCCGAGAGUGGAAAAUGCAGCUCAACCAUCGUUUGAGAGAUAAUAAAGCCCAACAUGGACUUCUGCUUCCACCUGGCGACAUGGGUUUUGCGGGUCGAUUCUUGUGGUUUCAACUCUUGAGGUUACCCUGUCUUCCCUACCCACAUAUUCCCUGUGUUUUACAGACUAUUUAAUAAAAAUAAUAACCUGAUAAUGCAUAAACAUGAUGGAUAAAAAGGUGCUCAUCAUCAUGCUUUGGUGUAUUUUGAAUGUGUGAAGACAUUAUUAAAAACAAAAUUUAAGUUGUUUAAAAAAAAUUACAAUUGUGAGUUUUGAAAUUUUGCUUUUUAAUAAAAGUAUAAAUUGAU